UUUAACUGUUCUGGAACAUCUGUGGUAAAGUGUGGAAUUGUUUCCUGUCUGCUGUGGAUGAUAAAAAUGUGGGAGACUGUGCUUGAAGGACACUUCCUUAAUUGUGCUGUGUUGAGGGGUCCCAAGUGCAGAAUUGAACAAAGCUACAAUAACCCAGUCUGUUCUUCAGAUGUUGUUGUGCAUCUGAACCUGUGCUUGAAGGACUAAUUGGCAUCUUAAGGAGUCUUCCUGAUAAGGUACUUCCUGAUAUCCCAUCACACUGCUGUUGAAUUCACUACAUUGUCUGCAGCAUAAUCUUUUGAAGGUACAAUUUCCCCAUAAAUUUUGUAAAAUGAAGGAAACAUUUUUCAAAUACUGAACUAUUUCUUGGUCACUAAUGAAAUAAGCACAUUUGUGACUCAUUAUGAUGAUCAGAUGUCCUUCCGAUUAUACUUUUUGGAUCAUUUCAAAUCAUGAUGCAAAAGAGGGAAAACUGAGACAAAUAUGAGCAUUGUAACAAGUUUUCUGGACUGCGUUGUAUUAGCAUUUGGAACAUUGUCCUGCAUAUGCACAGUGUUGGGAAAGCUCACUUUCUACAUGAACUAGUUCACAAAUUUUAAAAUUAACCAGUUUAGUUCAUAGUUCAUACU